UACGUAGGAGACGAGCGUUGUCCGGAAUUACUGGGCGUAAAGCGCGUGUAGGCGGAUCGGCAAGUCUGCUGUGAAAGCUCCUGGCUUAACCGGGAGUGGUCGGUGGAAACUGCUGGUCUGGAGGACGGUAGAGGUAGGUAGAAUUCCCGGUGUAGUGGUGAAAUGCGUAGAGAUCGGGAGGAAUACCUGUGGCGAAGGCGGCAUCCUGGACCGGCAUUGACGCUGAGGCGCGAAAGCCAGGGGAGCAAACGGG
rnacentral:rRNA from 1 species